GUCAAUCAAUUCACAACAUCAAAUCAAAGCAAUGAUCAAUCGACCACGUCGAUUACAUGUCAGCUUGACCAUUUCCCGGUCAUUCAAGCUAUUGCUAUUCAGACUCAAUUAACAAAACCAAUCACCGAGCCAUGUGCAUUCUCCGAGGUAAUGAAUUACUUUACCGAGCCCACGUGCCCUUUAAUGCCAUUAUGAAUCAGCGAGCCCACGUGCAUUCUCCGAGGCGAUGCAUCGAGUCACUGAGCCCACGUGUCUCUUCAAGAUGCCAAAUGAACUCAUUGGGACCACGUGCAUUCUCUGAGGUAAUGCAUCAAAUUACCGAGCCCACGUGUCCUUUUAGAUGCCAAAUGUACUCAUUGAGACCACGUGCAUUCUCCGAGGUAAUGCAUCAAAUUACCGAGCCCACGUGUCUCUUCAAGAUGCCAAAUGAACUCAUUGGGACCACGUGCAUUCUCCGAGGUAAUGCAUCAAUGCAUCAAAUUACCGAGCCCAUGUGUCCUUUUAGAUGCCAAAUGUACUCAUUGAGACCACGUGCAUUCUCCGAGGUAAUGCAUCAAAUUACCGAGCCCACGUGUCUCUUUUAGGAUGCCACACUUAAUCACCGAGCCACAUGCAUUCUCCAAGGCGACAUACUUCGUCACCGAGCCAUGUGCAUUCUCCGAGGUGAUAUAUCUAAUCAUCAAGCCCCGUG
rnacentral:lncRNA from 1 species